rnacentral:rRNA from 1 species
UACGGAGGAUCCGAGCGUUAUCCGGAUUUAUUGGGUUUAAAGGGUGCGUAGGCGGCUUAGUAAGUCAGCGGUGAAAUUUUGCAGCUUAACUGUAACAGUGCCGUUGAUACUGUUAGUCUUGAAUUUAGUUGAAGUGGGCGGAAUGUAGCAUGUAGCGGUGAAAUGCAUAGAUAUGCUACAGAACACCGAUAGCGAAGGCAGCUCACUAAGUUAAUAUUGACGCUCAUGCACGAAAGCGUGGGGAUCAAACAGGAUUAGA